UUGCCAGCGAUUAGGUCGGGAACUCAAAGGAGACUGCCAGUGAUAAACUGGAGGAAGGUGGGGAUGACGUCAAGUCAUCAUGGCCCUUACGACCAGGGCUACACACGUGCUACAAUGGCGCAUACAAAGAGAAGCGACCUCGCGAGAGCAAGCGGACCUCAUAAAGUGCGUCGUAGUCCGGAUUGGAGUCUGCAACUCGACUCCAUGAAGUCGGAAUCGCUAGUAAUCGUGGAUCAGAAUGCCACGGUGAAUACGUUCCCGGGCCUUGUACACACCGCCCGUCACACCAUGGGAGUGGGUUGCAAAAGAAGUAGGUAGCUUAACCUUCGGGAGGGCGCUUACCACUUUGUGAUUCAUGACUGGGGUGAAGUCGUAACAAGGUAACCGUAGGGGAACCUGCGGUUGGAUCACCUCCUUACCUGAAAGAA
rnacentral:rRNA from 1 species